rnacentral:tRNA from 1 species
GGGCGAGUGGCGAAACUGGUAGACGCGCAAGGUUUAGGACCUUGUGAGGGCAACCUCUUGAGAGUUCGACUCUCUCCUCGCCCACCA